rnacentral:rRNA from 1 species
UACGUAGGUGACCAGCGUUGUCCGGAAUUAUUGGGCGUAAAGCGCGCGCAGGCGGUCCUUUAAGUCUGAUGUGAAAGCCCACGGCUCAACCGUGGAGGGUCAUUGGAAACUGGGGGACUUGAGUGCAGAAGAGGAAAGCGGAAUUCCACGUGUAGCGGUGAAAUGCGUAGAUCUCGGUAGGAACACCGGAGGCGAAGGCGGCUCGCUGGACGCUCCCUGACGCUGAGGGACGAAAGCUGGGGGAGCAAAC